rnacentral:rRNA from 1 species
UACAGAGGUGGCAAGCGUUGUUCGGAAUUACUGGGCGUAAAGGGCGCGUAGGCGGCUUGGUCAGUCCCGUGUGAAAUCCCUCGGCUCAACUGAGGAACUGCACGGGAAACUGCCUGGCUUGAGUUCGGGAGAGGGAAGCGGAAUUCCGGGUGUAGCGGUGAAAUGCGUAGAUAUCCGGAGGAACACCAGAGGCGAAGGCGGCCGACUGGUCAGUACGUGAAGCG